rnacentral:rRNA from 1 species
GACGAACGCUGGCGGCGUGCUUAACACAUGCAAGUCGAACGAUGAAGCCGGAGCUUGCUCUGGUGAAUUAGUGGCGAACGGGUGAGUAACACGUGAGUAACCUGCCCUUGACUCUGGGAUAACUGCUAGAAAUGGUAGCUAAUACCGGAUACGACCCUCGGAGGCAUCUCCAGGGGGUGGAAAGAAUUUCGGUCAAGGAUGGACUCGCGGCCUAUCAGCUUGUUGGUGAGGUAACGGCUCACCAAGGCGACGACGGGUAACCGGCCGGAGAGGGUGACCAGUCACACUGGGACUGAGACACGGCCCAGACUCCUACGGGAGGCAGCAGUGGGGAAUAUUGCACAAUGGGCGCAAGCCUGAUGCAGCAACGCCGCGUGAGGGAUGAAGGCCUUCGGGUUGUAAACCUCUUUUAGCAGGGAAGAAGCGAAAGUGACGGUACCUGCAGAAAAAGCACCGGCUAACUACGUGCCAGCAGCCGCGGUAA